UCCGGUGUGGUGUAGCGGUAACAUAACACGCUCUCAAGAGUCUCCUCUAUAGAUCCGUGUAGCUCGGGGUUCGACUCCCCGCAUCGGAA